UGGGUAUGAUGUAGCCUUGAUUCUUACAGGAGUGUGUGUUGGUGUGCUGCUUCUGCAACAGGUCAGCCUUACCCCGCUCGGCCUGAGCCCCUCCACUCCACGGAUACGUGGCUGAGAAUACAGCCGUCGCUCGCUGUGGAGGCAGAUGGGGUGAACCACAGCUCCAUCCUGUCCACUGCUGGAACCAUGGAGGAGACCAGCUAUCAGCACCAGCUCCAAAUCCCAGUGCUCUCUCUUUGUCUCUGCCUCCUUUUCCUGCUGGUGUUGGGCUCCACGGCAUUGCUGGCCUUCAGACGAAGGAUUCACAAAACUGACUUCACCACAGAACGCCUGCAGACAAGGAGGCCCGUGGAGGAGAACAUCUACACUCUGGACUAGGAUGCCGCAGAGCUCGUCUGGAUGUUAUCAACACGGAGACGCAAGAUCCCAGAAGCUCCAGUCCUUCAUAGAGGAAGUCAUCACCAACAAGCAUUCUUCCCAACAGCUCAUCAAGCCAAGGCACCUCAGUGAACCCAAACAAACGGAGAAACAAACAGCGCGAUCACACUUCAUCACGGCAAAUUUCUUACACCAGGAAAGUCAGUCAUAAAUACAGCUGGGUGCAUUUAGUCACUGAAAUGAUACAUAAAAAACUUUAACAGUAAUAGUAUCUCCAGGUUUAUAUUAACGGAAUUAAUGCGGUUGAACUAAUUGAAACGUGUACAGUUGUGGAGAAUGCAGCGCCCGUAUACAAAUCUGUUUAUACAACGUUGAAAUGGUCCUAAUAAAAUUUGUAAUGA